GACGAACGCUGGCGGCGUGGAUUAGGCAUGCAAGUCGAACGGUAUCAUCCUUUCGGGGGUGAGAGAGUGGCGAACUGGUGAGUAACACGUAGGUUAUCUACCCUCAAGACGGGGACAACCCAGGGAAACUUGGGCUAAUACCGGAUGUGAGCAACUUUUAGUUGUUUGAAAGGUGGCGUAAGCUGUCGCUUGGGGAUGAGCCUGCGUCCUAUUAGUUAGUUGGUGAGGUAACGGCUCACCUAGGCAAUGAUAGGUAGGCGGCCUUAACGGGUGGUCGCCCACACUGGGAUUGAGAUACGGCCCAGACUCCGUACGGGAGGCAGCAGUCGAGAAUAGUCUACAAUGGUCGGAAGACUGAUAGUGCGACGCCGCGUGAACGAUGAAUCCCUUCGGGGUGUAAAGUUCUUUUAUAUGUGAGCAGUGCUUCUUAUAUUAACAGUAUGGGGAGAGAGAUAUUAGCAUAUGAAUAAGCAACGGCUAACUCCGUGCCAGCAGCCGCGGU
rnacentral:rRNA from 1 species